rnacentral:rRNA from 1 species
GGUACCGCCACGGUUUAAAUUUCUUGGAACAGAAUGUCAAAGAGGGUGAGAGUCCCGUCUUGGACCGCGGUAGGGCCUGUGUAAAACUCCUUCGAAGAGUCGACUUGUUUGGGAAUGCAGGUCAAAAUGGGUGGUAAAUUUCAUCUAAAGCUAAAUAUUGGCCAGAGACCGAUAGCGCACAAGUAGAGUGAUCGAAAGAUGAAAAGCACUUUGAAAAGAGAGUUAAACAGUAUGUGAAAUUGUUGAAAGGGAAGCGCUGGCAACCAGACUCGUGCGCGGGGUUCCCCCUUGCUUCUGCUUGGGUCACUUCCCCGUGUCCGGGCCAUCAUCAGUUUCGGGGGCCGGUUAAAGGCCCUGGGAAUGUACCCACGCCUUCGGGGGUGGACUUAUAGCCCAGGGUGUCAUGCGGCCACCCGGGACUGAGGAACGCGCUUCGGCGAGGAUGAUGGCGUAAUGGUUGUCAGCGGCCCGUCUUGAAACACGGACCAAGGAGUCUAACA